AAACAACAGGUGUAGACUAACAGUGAAAUGGCAGAGAGAGAGAGAGAGAAACAACAGGUGUAGACUAACAGUGAAAUGGCAGGGAGAGAGAGAGAAACAACAGGUGUAGACUAACAGUGAAAUGGCAGGGAGAGAGAAACAACAGGUGUAGACUAACAGUGAAAUGGCAGGGAGAGAGAGAGAGAGAAACAACAGGUGUAGACUAACAGUGAAAUGGCAGAGAGAGAGAGAGAGAAACAACAGGUGUAGACUAACAGUGAAAUGGCAGGGAGAGAGAGAGAAACAACAGGUGUAGACUAACAGUGAAAUGGCAGGGAGAGAGAAACAACAGGUGUAGACUAACAGUGAAAUGGCAGGGAGAGAGAGAGGGAGAAACAACAGGUGUAGACUAACAGUGAAAUGGCAGAGAGAGAGAGAGAGAAACAACAGGUGUAGACUAACAGUGAAAUGGCAGAGAGAGAGAGAGAGAGAAACAACAGGUGUAGACUAACAGUGAAAUGGCAGAGAGAGAGAAA